GCUGGAUAGAGUACUCGGCUACGAACCGAGCGGUCGGAGGUUCGAAUCCUCCCGGAUGCACCA
rnacentral:tRNA from 2 species